rnacentral:rRNA from 1 species
GUGCCAGCAGCCGCGGUAAUACGAAGGGGGCUAGCGUUGUUCGGAAUCACUGGGCGUAAAGGGCGCGUAGGCGGCUGUUCAAGUCGGGGGUGAAAUCCCGUGGCUCAACCACGGAAUGGCCUUCGAUACUGGACGGCUCGAGACCGGAAGAGGUGAGUGGAACUGCGAGUGUAGAGGUGAAAUUCGUAGAUAUUCGCAAGAACACCAGUGGCGAAGGCGGCUCACUGGUCCGGUUCUGACGCUGAGGCGCGAAAGCGUGGGGAGCAAACAGGAUUAGAUACCCUGGUAGUCC